rnacentral:lncRNA from 1 species
UACCAUGUGAGGGUUCAAAAAACUCAUUUCAAGCCCUAGGUUUACAACUAGGCAAGAAAUCAUUAAAUUGAUCCAUGAUUUAAGCAACAAUCAUCUCUUUAGCAUGCUAGAAUAGCUCUAAAUCCAUUCUUGAAGCUUAAAACCCAAACUACAAGGAGACACCAUUAAAGGGUUUUGGAGCUUACCUUCAAAGCUUGGUUCUCAUGCAAGGAAGAAGAUGGAGAAGAUGAAAAUCCAUCCUUGAGCUUCAAUCUCCACCAAAACCUUCUCUUUUGGGGGAGAUUUAGAGAGAGAAAGGAGAGUUCUCUUCCUCCCUCUCCUUGCUGUGUGUGGCGUGUGUGUGUGUGCAUUCGGCUGAGGAGGAGAAGGAGAAAAGGGAUUAAAUCCCUUUUAACAAAUCAGGCCCUCAACUAUUACACUAUUCACCUCGGGCAGCAGUUUAGAAGUUCGGAACAGUUGGAGCCCUUCUGAAUGUCCGUUUGAGCUCAAAUUUGACAGGCAGGCUCAGUUUAGCUUACUGAGUAAGAAUAUAUUUUAAGUUUUCAGUUUCGACCCCAUUUGGUCACCGAAAACGGUACCGAAUUGUAAUCUUUAUCAGAUAACUUGUCAUAUUUUAUUUUCCACCUUCUGGGUGUCAGAAAAAUAUGAAACUUUAAAUCUAGUCUCAUAAAAAUAUUUCUGACUUGUCCUCCAAUUUUCAUAAUUUUCUGAGACUGUACAUUUUCUGCUAAUUUAUCUGUUCCGUUUUCAACAGAAAAUUCUAGAUCUUCUGUUUUCAUUCCGAUUUUAGCACAAGUCACUUCUGACUUAUGUUUUACUCCUCUAAAUUCAAUAAAAAUAGUAUCUCACUCUAUUUUUAUUUAUUUUUAUUUUUAUACCAAAAUCUGGUAUGUUACACUAGGUUUAAUGCCACUCAUGAAUCACCUAUGUUCAUUGACACUAGGUUUCAUUGCCACUCAUGU